UGUUCAUCUUUCAAACCUCAGCAUGGGGGAAACAUCCUCUAGGAAGCAUUUCCUAAGUCUUCAGAUCAGAAACACCUAAGGCCUGAGGGGGCCCAGAAGAGGCAUUAAUCUAUCAUGAGAACUCAGGAAAAGCUUCCUGGAGGAGGUGACACUGAGCUACAGACAACAGGCUCCCAAAGAAUGCGUGUUUUAGGACGGUACCUGGGUGCCUAAGUUAGCGGAGUCCAAGUGGAGGAGC